rnacentral:rRNA from 1 species
GAUGAACGCUGGCGGCGUGCCUAAUACAUGCAAGUCGAGCGAACGGACGAGGAGCUUGCUUCUCUGACGUUAGCGGCGGACGGGUGAGUAACACGUGGAUAACCUACCUAUAAGACUGGGAUAACUUCGGGAAACCGGAGCUAAUACCGGAUGAUAUUUUGAACCGCAUGGUUCAAAAGUGAAAGACGGUCUUGCUGUCACUUAUAGAUGGAUCCGCGCUGCAUUAGCUAGUUGGUAAGGUAACGGCUUACCAAGGCAACGAUGCGUAGCCGACCUGAGAGGGUGAUCGGCCACACUGGAACUGAGACACGGUCCAGACUCCUACGGGAGGCAGCAGUAGGGAAUCUUCCGCAAUGGGCGAAAGCCUGACGGAGCAACGCCGCGUGAGUGAUGAAGGUCUUCGGAUCGUAAAACUCUGUUAUUAGGGAAGAACAUAUGUGUAAGUAACUGUGCACAUCUUGACGGUACCUAAUCAGAAAGCCACGGCUAACUACGUG